rnacentral:rRNA from 1 species
UACAGAGGGUGCAAGCGUUAAUCGGAAUUACUGGGCGUAAAGCGUGCGCAGGCGGUUUGUUAAGUCCGCUGUGAAAUCCCCGAGCUCAACUUGGGAAUUGCAGUGGAUACUGGCAAGCUGGAGUAUGGUAGAGGAAGGUGGAAUUCCCGGUGUAGCAGUGAAAUGCGUAGAGAUCGGGAGGAACACCAGUGGCGAAGGCGGCCUUCUGGACCAAUACUGACGCUCAUGCACGAAAGCGUGGGGAGCAAACAGG